rnacentral:rRNA from 1 species
AACGUAGGUGGCGAGCGUUAUCCGGAUUCAUUGGGCGUAAAGCGCUUGUAGGUGGCUGCAUAAGUUGGACGUGAAAGCUCCGGGCUUAACUUGGAGAGGCCGUUCAAGACUGUGUGGCUGGAGGGUGUCAGAGGGAAGUAGAAUUCCUGGUGUAGCAGUGAAAUGCGUAGAGAUCAGGAGGAAUACCCGUGGCGAAGGCGGCUUCCUGGGACACACCUGACACUGAGAAGCGAAAGCUAGGGGAGCAAACGGG